rnacentral:rRNA from 1 species
UGGGGGAUAACGUUCGGAAACGGACGCUAAUACCGCAUACGUCCUACGGGAGAAAGCAGGGGACCUUCNGGCCUUGCGCUAUCAGAUGAGCCUAGGUCGGAUUAGCUAGUUGGUGAGGUAAUGGCUCACCAAGGCUACGAUCCGUAACUGGUCUGAGAGGAUGAUCAGUCACACUGGAACUGAGACACGGUCCAGACUCCUACGGGAGGCAGCAGUGGGGAAUAUUGGACAAUGGGCGAAAGCCUGAUCCAGCCAUGCCGCGUGUGUGAAGAAGGUCUUCGGAUUGUAAAGCACUUUAAGUUGGGAGGAAGGGCAGUAAAUUAAUACUUUGCUGUUUUGACGUUACCGACAGAAUAAGCACCGGCUAACUCUGUGCCAGCAGCCGCGGUAAUACAGAGGGUGCAAGCGUUAAUCGGAAUUACUGGGCGUAAAGCGCGCGUAGGUGGUUCGUUAAGUUGGAUGUGAAAUCCCCGGGCUCAACCUGGGAACUGCAUUCAAAACUGACGAGCUAGAGUAUGGUAGAGGGUGGUGGAAUUUCCUGUGUAGCGGUGAAAUGCGUA